rnacentral:piRNA from 1 species
UGGUGAUUACUCUGUAUACAGCACUCCCUG